GGCUCUGUGAUAUUCUGCCUUAGUUGCAGUAUACGCUAUUCUGAUUCAAAUUAUGAGCAGAAAUUUCAUUAUAAAUGAGAGCU
rfam:Cicer arietinum chromosome Ca2, whole genome shotgun sequence.